rnacentral:rRNA from 1 species
UACGAAGGGGGCUAGCGUUGUUCGGAUUUACUGGGCGUAAAGCGCACGUAGGCGGAUCGUUAAGUCGGGGGUGAAAUCCUGGAGCUCAACUCCAGAACUGCCUUCGAUACUGGCGAUCUUGAGUCCGGAAGAGGUGAGUGGAACUCCUAGUGUAGAGGUGAAAUUCGUAGAUAUUCGCAAGAACACCAGUGGCGAAGGCACUCUACUGGGCCAUUACUGACACUAAGAGACGAAAGCUAGGGGGAGCAAAUGGGG